rnacentral:tRNA from 1 species
GCCCGAGUGGCGGAAUGGUAGACGCAGGGGAUUCAAAAUCCCCCGGUAGCAAUACCGUGCGAGUUCGAGUCUCGCCUCGGGCACCA